GACCUGAUCCAGCCAUGCCGCGUGUGUGAAGAAGGCCCUCGGGUUGUAAAGCACUUUCAGCGAGGAAGAACGCCUAGCGGUUAAUACCCGCUAGGAAAGACAUCACUCGCAGAAGAAGCACCGGCUAACUCCGUGCCAGCAGCCGCGGUAAUACGGAGGGUGCAAGCGUUAAUCGGAAUUACUGGGCGUAAAGCGCGCGUAGGUGGCUUGAUAAGCCGGUUGUGAAAGCCCCGGGCUCAACCUGGGAACGGCAUCCGGAACUGUCAAGCUAGAGUGCAGGAGAGGAAGGUAGAAUUCCCGGUGUAGCGGUGAAAUGCGUAGAGAUCGGGAGGAAUACCAGUGGCGAAGGCGGCCUUCUGGACUGACACUGACACUGAGGUGCGAAAGCGUGGGUAGCAAACAGGAUUAGAUACCCUGGUAGUCCACGCCGUAAACGAUGUCGACCAGCCGUUGGGUGCCUAGCGCACUUUGUGGCGAAGUUAACGCGAUAAGUCGACCGCCUGGGGAGUACGGCCGCAAGGUUAAAACUCAAAUG
rnacentral:rRNA from 1 species